rnacentral:lncRNA from 1 species
AGAAGCGAGCAGCAUUUCCAUUUAUCAAGUAGGUGCAGAAGCCUGUGCAAGUAUUAAGAGUCAGGGUGCAGGCGGCAAGCUCCUGCUUUGCAGCUUUUCUUACUGGUUUUGAGAGCCACCUUCCUAAAGAGGGCCCUGCUGCUCAGGUCUGAUCGUGGACAAUGGGGCACGUACGCCAGACUGCUGGACUACUGAAUGAAUGCCUCUUUCUUUGUUCAAUACCUUUUCCAAGAUUCUUUGUCAUUCUUCUUGGACUCAUCGGGAGGCAUGGGUUUUAAGAUACACAGUAGCUCGGGUCUUACAGCGAAAUAAUUGAUGCUUCAUUGAAAGAAACCAGGCAAAUUGAAAUGUGUGCUAUACUGGCCGGAAAAGAGAGGGAUAUAUGGAAAAGUUGAGGUUCUGGUUAUCAGUGUAAAUGAAUGUGAUAACUACACCAUUCGAAACCUUGUCUUAAAGCAAGGAAGCCACACCCAACAUGUGAAGCAUUACUGGUACACCUCAUGGCCUGAUCACAAGACUCCAGACAGUGCCCAGCCCCUCCUACAGCUCAUGCUGGAUGUAGAAGAAGACAGACUUGCUUCCCAGGGCCGAGGGCCUGUGGUUGUCCACUGCAGUGCAGGAAUAGGUAGAACAGGGUGUUUUAUUGCUACAUCCAUUGGCUGUCAACAGCUGAAAGAAGAAGGAGUUGUGGAUGCACUAAGCAUUGUCUGCCAGCUUCGUAUGGAUAGAGGUGGAAUGGUGCAAACCAGUGAGCAGUAUGAAUUUGUGCACCAUGCUCUGUGCCUGUAUGAGAGCAGACUUUCAGCAGAGACUGUCCAGUGAGUCAUUGAAGACUUGUCAGACCAUCAAUCUCUUGGGGUGAUUAAUCAAAUUACCCACCCAAGGCUUCUAGAAGGAGCUUCCUGCAAUGGAAGGAAGGAGAAGCUCUGAAGCCCAUGUAUGGCAUGGAUUGUGGAAGACUGGGCAACAUAUUUAAGAUUUCCAGCUCCUUGUGUAUAUGAAUGCAUUUGUAAGCAUCCCCCAAAUUAUUCUGAAGGUUUUUUGAUGAUGGAGGUAUGAUAGGUUUAUCACACAGCCUAAGGCAGAUUUUGUUUUGUCUGUACUGACUCUAUCUGCCACACAGAAUGUAUGUAUGUAAUAUUCAGUAAUAAAUGUCAUCAGGUGAUGACUGGAUGAGCUGCUGAAGACAUUCGUAUUAUGUGUUAGAUGCUUUAAUGUUUGCAAAAUCUGUCUUGUGAAUGGACUGUCAGCUGUUAAACUGUUCCUGUUUUGAAGUGCUAUUACCUUUCUCAGUUACCAGAAUCUUGCUGCUAAAGUUGCAAGUGAUUGAUAAUGGAUUUUUAACAGAGAAGUCUUUGUUUUUGAAAAACAAAAAUCAAAAACAGUAACUAUUUUAUAUGGAAAUGUGUCUUGAUAAUAUUACCUAUUAAAUGUGUAUUUAUAGUCCCUCCUAUCAAACAAUUACAGAGCACAAUGAUUGUCAUUGGGUAUAUAUGUAUUUACUCUCUAUUAUUGGGCAUAAAGGUGGCUUCUGCUCCAGAACUCUAUCCACUGUAUUUCCACAUCGUGAGUCAUUUUACUUUAAAAGGGAAAAACAAAUUUGUAGCAACUCUGAAGUAUCAAGAGUUUUAACUACUUGUCUCUCUUUUGCUAAGAAGGGAUUUUUGAAUAUGCUAUCUACCUGGAAUCUCUCUCUCAACAAAAGGUAUAUGCCUUCAGGAAUGAUAUAAUCUGUCCCAUUUUCGAGGCUCCUUAUAAGGACAUUUCCAUGUAUGUCCUUACAUUUCUGAAAGCUUUCAAUCUUCAAGAGACAAAAAAAAUUAAAAUAACUACCCUCAGCAAACACUAGCUGUUCUGCUCAUAUAUGAAUUUUUAAUGCAGCAAUGUUGACUUUGUUUCAUACUGCCAAUAAACUCUUAAUACUAAA